UGAUGCUACAAGCUUGGAAAGGUGAACGCAGCGAUCAGAUGGCCUGGAGAUGUUUUUGCCAGACGGCAGCCUCAGUCGUUUGAUGGGGAGACCAUAAUUGGAAACAUGUAUGGAGUCAGCACAUGGAGACUUGCAAGAUGAUGUGAUGAAGUCCAGACUGACAGACAAGCUUGAUACUGAUGUAUCAGAAUGGAUUAUUAGACACAACUUUUACUUGUAUUGUCUUUUUUAUUAUUGAAUUGAAUGGUAUCAGUCAA